CAGCCGCGGGAAUACGGAGGGUGCAAGCGUUAAUCGGAAUUACUGGGCGUAAAGCGCACGCAGGCGGUCUGACAAGUCAGAUGUGAAAUCCCCGGGCUUAACCUGGGAACUGCAUUUGAAACUGUCAGGCUGGAGUCUUGUAGAGGGGGGUAGAAUUCCAGGUGUAGCGGUGAAAUGCGUAGAGAUCUGGAGGAAUACCGGUGGCGAAGGCGGCCCCCUGGACAAAGACUGACGCUCAGGUGCGAAAGCGUGGGGAGCAAACAGGAUUAGAUACCCGGGUAGUCCCUGUCUCUUAUAACAU
rnacentral:rRNA from 1 species